ACCCAGCUGGCUCUAUCGGUGGAGCACGUGACUCUUGAUCUUGGGGUUGUAGAUUCCAGCCCCACGUUGGGUG
rnacentral:tRNA from 1 species